UACGAAGGGGGCUAGCGUUGCUCGGAAUCACUGGGCGUAAAGCGCACGUAGGCGGACUCUUAAGUCGGGGGUGAAAGCCCAGGGCUCAACCCUGGAACUGCCUUCGAUACUGGGAGUCCUGAGUAUGGUAGAGGUUGGUGGAACUGCGAGUGUAGAGGUGAAAUUCGUAGAUAUUCGCAAGAACACCAGUGGCGAAGGCGGCUCACUGGCCCGAUACUGACGCUGAGGCACGAAAGCGUGGGGAGCAAACAGG
rnacentral:rRNA from 1 species